rnacentral:rRNA from 1 species
CUCCGGUUGAUCCUGCCGGACCUGACUGCUAUCGGAUUGGUACUAAGCCAUGCGAGUCGUUGUAGCAAUACAAGGCGGACGGCUCAGUAACACGUAGUCAACCUAACCUAUGGACGUGGAUAACCUCGGGAAACUGAGAAUAAACCGCGAUAGAUCAUUAUGCCUGGAAUGGCUUAUGGUUCAAACAAUUUAUUGCCGUAGGAUGGGACUGCGGCCUAUCAGCUUGUUGGUGAGGUAAUGGCCCACCAAGGCUAUAACAGGUACGGGCUCUGAGAGGAGAAGCCCGGAGAUGGGUACUGAGACACGGACCCAGGCCCUAUGGGGCGCAGCAGGCGAGAAACCUUAGCAAUGUGCGAAAGCACGACUAGGUUAAUCCGAGUGAUUUCUGUUGAAGAAAUCUUUUGUCAGUCGUAAAACCACAGACGAAUAAGGGGUGGGCAAGUCUGGUGUCAGCCGCCGCGGUAAUACCAGCACCUCGAGUGGUCAGGAGGUUUAUUGGGCCUAAAGCAUCCGUAGCCGGCUACGCAAGUCUCCGGUUAAAUCCAGCUGCUCAACAGAUGGGCUGCCGGAGAUACUACAUAGCUAGGGAGCGGGAGAGGUAGACGGUAUUCUGUGGGUAGGGGUAAAAUCCACUGAUCCAUAGAGGACCACCAGUGGCGAAGGCGGUCUACCAGAACGCGUUCGACGGUGAGGGAUGAAAGCUGGGGGAGCAAACCGGAUUAGAUACCCGGGUAGUCCCAGCUGUAAACGAUGCAAACUCGGUGAUGCAUUGGCUUAUGGCCAAUGCAGUGCCGCAGGGAAGCCGUUAAGUUUGACGCCUGCGAAGUACGGACGCAAGUCUGAAACUUAAAGGAAUUGGCGGGGGGAGCC